rnacentral:rRNA from 1 species
AGGACGGUAGCGCAGGAAGAAGUUCUCGGCUAACUACGUGCCAGCAGCCGCGGUAAAACGUAGGAGCCGAGCGUUAUCCGGAUUUACUGGGUGUAAAGCGCGUGCAGGCGGUCAUGUAAGUGGUGCGUGAAAGCGCCCGGCUCAACCGGGCGAGGCCGUGCCAAACUGCGUGACUGGAGGCAGGUAGAGGCGCGUGGAAUUCCGGGUGUAGUGGUGAAAUGCGUAGAUAUCCGGAGGAACACCAGUGGCGAAGGCGGUGCGCUGGGCCUGACCUGACGCUAAGACGCGAAAGCAUGGGGAGCGAACGGGAUUAGAAACCCCGGUAGUCCAUGCUGUAAACGCUGCAGACUAGGUGUUGCGUGCGACGAGUAUGCAGUGCCGAAGCCAACGUGAUAAGUCUGCCACCUGGGGACUACGGCCGCAAGGUUAAAACUCAAAGGAAUUGACGGGGGCCCGCACAAGCAGCGGAGCGUGUGGUUUAAUUCGAGGCUACACGAAGAACCUUACCUGGGCUUGACAUGGCGGUGGUAGGGAACCGAAAGGGGACCGACCUUCGGGAGCCGUCACAGGUGCUGCAUGGCUGUCGUCAGCUCGUGUCGUGAGAUGUUCGGUUAAGUCCGGUAACGAGCGCAACCCUCGCCGCUAGUUACAAGUGUCUAGCGGGACUGCCCGUUGAACGCGGGAGGAAGGUGGGGAUGACGUCAAGUCAGCACGGCCUUUAUGUCCAGGGCUACACACACGCUACAAUGGCCGGUACAAUGGGUCGCCAACCCGCGAGGGGGAGCCAAUCCAUCAAAGCCGGUCUCAGUUCGGAUUGCAGGCUGCAACCCGCCUGCAUGAAGUCGGAGUUGCUAGUAACCGCAGGUCAGCUAUACUGCGGUGAAUACGUUCCCGGGCCUUGUACACACCGCCCGUCACGUCAUGGGAGCUGGUCAUGCCUGAAGUCGGUGGGCUAACCUCACGGAGGC